rnacentral:rRNA from 1 species
GAUAAACGCUGGCGGCGUGCAUGAGACAUGCAAGUCGAACGAAGGAUCGGGCUUGCUCGAUCCUUAGUGGCGGACGGCUGAGUAACGCGUAGGUGACCUACCCCGAAGUGGGGAAUAACUGCCCGAAAGGGUGGCUAAUACCGCAUGUGGUCGCACGUUCAUUCGUGCGAGUAAAGCCGCAAGGCGCUUCGGGAGGGGCCUGCGUCCGAUUAGCUCGUUGGUGGGGUAAUGGCUUACCAAGGCGACGAUCGGUAGGUGGUCUGAGAGGACGAUCACCCAGACUGGGACUGAGACACGGCCUAGACUCCUACGGGAGGCAGCAGUCGGGAAUUUUGCUCAAUGGGGGAAACCCUGAAGCAGCAACGCCGCGUGAGGGAUGAAGGCCUUCGGGUUGUAAACCUCUUUUGUCAGGGACGAUGAUGACGGUACCUGGCGAAUAAGCCACGGCUAACUACGUG